GGGCCCGCACAAGCGGUGGAGCAUGUGGUUUAAUUCGAUGCAACGCGAAGAACCUUACCUACCCUUGAAAUCCUCAGAAUUCUCUAGAGAUAGAGAAGUGCCUUCGGGAACUGAGUGACAGGUGCUGCAUGGCUGUCGUCAGCUCGUGUCGUGAGAUGUUGGGUUAAGUCCCGUAACGAGCGCAACCCCUACUCUUAAUUGCCAGCGGUUAGGCCGGGAACUUUAAGAGAACUGCCGGUGAUAAACCGGAGGAAGGUGGGGAUGAUGUCAAGUCAUCAUGGCCCUUACGGGUAGGGCUACACACGUGCUACAAUGGACAGUACAGAGGGCUGCAAACCCGCGAGGGGAGCGAAUCCCUUAAAGCUGUUCUCAGUCCGGAUUGGAGUCUGCAACUCGACUCCAUGAAGUCGGAAUCGCUAG
rnacentral:rRNA from 1 species